ensembl:snoRNA
AUCCUUUUGUGGUUCAUAAGCAUGAUGACUGGGUUUUCAGGCUAUCGUGUGAGAUGUGCCUCACUCAAACCUUGUUACGACAUCUGCGCAUUACCCAUGUGAUG